rnacentral:rRNA from 1 species
UACGUAGGGUGCAAGCGUUGUCCGGAUUUAUUGGGCGUAAAGAGCUCGUAGGCGGUCUGUCACGUCGGCUGUGAAAACCCGGGGCUCAACCCCGGGCCUGCAGUCGAUACGGGCAGACUAGAGUGCGGUAGGGGAGACUGGAAUUCCUGGUGUAGCGGUGAAAUGCGCAGAUAUCAGGAGGAACACCGGUGGCGAAGGCGGGUCUCUGGGCCGUAACUGACGCUGAGGAGCGAAAGCGUGGGGAGCGAACAGG